GAUGAACGCUGGCGGCGUGCCUAAUACAUGCAAGUCGAGCGAACAGACGAGGAGCUUGCUCCUCUGACGUUAGCGGCGGACGGGUGAGUAACACGUGGAUAACCUACCUAUUAGACUGGGAUAACUUCGGGAAACCGGAGCUAAUACUGGAUAAUAUAUUGAACCGCAUGGUUCAAUAGUGAAAGACGGUUUUGCUGUCACUUAUAGCUGGAUCCGCGCUGCAUUAGUUAGUUGGUAAGGUAACGGCUUACCAAGGCAACGAUGCGUAGCCGACCUGAGAGGGUGAUCGGCCACACUGGAACUGAGACACGGUCCAGACUCCUACGGGAGGCAGCAGUAGGGAAUCUUCCGCAAUGGGCGAAAGCCUGACGGAGCAACGCCGCGUGAGUGAUGAAGGUCUUCGGAUCGUAAAACUCUGUUAUUAGGGAAGAACAAAUGUGUAAGUAACUAUGCACGUCUUGACGGUACCUAAUCAGAAAGCCACGGCUAACUACGUG
rnacentral:rRNA from 1 species